GACGAACGCUGGCGGCGUGCUUAAUACAUGCAAGUCGAACGGAAAGGCCCUGCUUUUGUGGGGUGCUCGAGUGGCGAACGGGUGAGUAACACGUGAGUAACCUGCCCUUGACUUUGGGAUAACUUCAGGAAACUGGGGCUAAUACCGGAUAGGAGCUCCUGCUGCAUGGUGGGGGUUGGAAAGUUUCGGCGGUUGGGGAUGGACUCGCGGCUUAUCAGCUUGUUGGUGGGGUAGUGGCUUACCAAGGCUUUGACGGGUAGCCGGCCCGAGAGGGUGACCGGCCACAUUGGGACUGAGAUACGGCCCAGACUCCUACGGGAGGCAGCAGUGGGGAAUAUUGCACAAUGGGCGGAAGCCUGAUGCAGCAACGCCGCGUGCGGGAUGACGGCCUUCGGGUUGUAAACCGCUUUCGCCUGUGACGAAGCGUGAGUGACGGUAAUGGGUAAAGAAGCACCGGCUAACUACGUG
rnacentral:rRNA from 1 species